rnacentral:rRNA from 1 species
UACGGAGGGUGCAAACGUUGCUCGGAAUCAUUGGGCGUAAAGCGCACGUAGGCGGCCUGUUAAGUCGGGUGUGAAAGCCCUGGGCUCAACCCAGGAAGUGCACUCGAAACUGGCGGGCUUGAAUAUGGAAGAGGGUCGCGGAAUUCCGGGUGUGAGCGGUGGAAUGCGUAGAGAUCCGGAAGAACACCGGUGGCGAAGGCGGUCUGCUGGGCCAAGACUGACGCUGAGGCGCGACAGCGUGGGGAGCAAACAGG